rnacentral:tRNA from 1 species
GGGGAUUUAGCUUGGUGGUAGAGCACUUGCCUAGCAAGCACAAGGCCCUGGGUUCGGUCCCCAGCUCCG